AGGGGCAUAGUUCUAAUGGUAGAACAGCGGUCUCCAAAACCGACGGUUGUGAGUUCGAGUCUUACUGCCCCUGCCA
rnacentral:tRNA from 3 species